CUUCAGGUAGCCGGUAGCCUUAAGGUAGCCUUCAGGUAGCUGGUAGCCUUCAGGUAGCCUUCAGUCUGCAGGUGGCCUCCAUGUAGCCAGUAGCCUUAAGGUAGCUGGUAGCCUUCAGGUAGCUGGUAGCCUUCAGGUAGCCUUCAGUCUGCAGGUGGCCUCCAUGUAGCCAGUAGCCUUAAGGUAGCUGGUAGCCUUCAGGUAGCUGGUAGCCUUCAGGUAGCCUUCAGUCUGCAGGUGGCCUUAAGGUAAUGGUAGCCUUCAGAUAGCCUUCAGUCUGCAGGUGGCCUUCAGGUAGCCGGUAGCUUCAGGUAGCUGGUAGCUUCAGGUAGCUGAU